AAAACGGUCCUUUUCAGGACCAACAAAGUCAUUAAAUAACGAAGUA
rnacentral:ncRNA from 1 species